UACGUAGGGAGCAAGCGUUGUCCGGAAUUACUGGGCGUAAAGGGCGCGUAGGCGGGAAUUUAAGUUAGGUGUGAAACCUAUGGGCUCAACCCAUAGCCUGCACCUAAAACUGGAUUUCUUGAGGGCAGGAGAGGAAAGUGGAAUUCCUAGUGUAGCGGUGAAAUGCGUAGAUAUUAGGAGGAACACCAGUGGCGAAGGCGACUUUCUGGACUGUACCUGACGCUGAGGCGCGAAAGCGUGGGGAGCGAAC
rnacentral:rRNA from 1 species